rnacentral:tRNA from 1 species
AAAAAUUUAGUUAAUCUAUAACAUUAGCUUGUCAAGUUAAAAUAAUCAAAUAUGAUAAUUUUUA